CUUCCUCUGACCCCUUUCCGUAAACUUUUACUUCCGGGGUCCGAAAAGCCUUAAAGAAAUAUGUAGAAUACCUUGUGAGCGUUGGCCUUUCAAGGUGCUAAAGCUUAGGUUUGAGGAGAGCUUUAUAGGGCUUGCCAGCUAUGUGAACUGUAAAAUGAUGAGUAUAUAGAAUCCUUUAUUUAGCGUUUACAUGUGCUGAGCCAUUAAAAUAUUGAAACAAAACAGUCUUUGCUGUAUAGCGUUUACAUUCUACUGGAGAGAGAGCUAAAAUGAGCUCACAAAUAAAUAGUGUGGUGAGCUAUAAAGAAAUCCACCAUAUGGGAAAAUUAGAACAGGAUAAAAAGAGGAUGAGAGGGUAGAGGGGCAGGUUGCAGCUUUUAAACAGGAUUCUCCGAGUAGGCUUCAUUAAAAAAGUUACAUUGCACAAAGAUUUAAAGAAGGUGAAGGGGUAAACUAUGCAUUUUUCUGGGGGAAGAGCUACUAAUCUGAGAAAAACUGAUUGUCUAGGAGAAAAGCUGGUCAAGCAAAGGCAACAUACAGCCCCAAGGCUCUUAGUAUCAAGCCUGGCAUGUUUGGUAAACAGUAAUAGAGGCCAAGAGUCAUAUGCAAAAGGAGAAGAAUGGGUUAGGAGUGACAUUGUGUAGGAGUUUGUAAAUAUUUGGUUUUUAGUUUUUGUGAGAUGCAGAUUUGAAUGAUUUUGAAAGAAAUGACAAGAUCAGACAGCUUGAAAGCAUCAUUUAGACUGGAGAAAACUUUAGAGGAAGAAAAGUGAAAGGAGGGAGAAAUGAUAGUGGCUUGAAGCAGAGUGGUUCUAAUGGAGGUGGUGAGAAGUGAUCAGAUUCUUUUGCAAAGUAGAGUCCUGAUGACUGAAUGAAGUGCAUGAGAGAGUCAAGGAUGACCUCAAGACUUUCUGAACUGAGCAACUGGAAGGAUGGAGUUACCAUCAGUUGAGAUGGGAGAAACUUCAGGUGGAGCAAAUUUGAAGGUUUGAAUGUCUUUCACCCAUGCAUGAUUUUGUAACAUCAUGUAUUCACUGAGUUAUGUGUAUUUUCCAAAAGUUGACACAUUUCUUGAAACAAUAUCACAAAACCAAAUUUGUUAAAAUUGCUGCUAAUCUCAUCAGAAGAGUCCUUCAUUUAUGGCAAGCUGUGAAACUUACAGUGGUGAGUAGAAGUUUUCUGAAUUUCUGAUUUUCACUUGAAUAGGGUCUUCCUUGCCUCCAGGUUACCUGUGGCAGUGCCCAUAAGGCAGUGCAGGAGGUAGAAGCAAGGAUUAAGGGGAGUUCUGGGUGGUGAGGACCUCUUGUUGAUGAACUUUCCAGGGCUGUUUUUCAGAUUAGGCCAUAUCUGUUAUUUUCUUUCACACUUGGAUCCCUGAAUACUGGCUUACUUUUCCAUUAUAACCAUUAGUCAGCAAGAGCAACCGUAUCACAAACCCUGAGUAUAUUCUGAGAGUCUACUUUCAGAGGCAAUCUGAGGGGGUUCUUUCUGGGGGGUGCUUCCGCCCUGCUCAUUUGUGCAGGAUGCAAGUUACCAUCAUACCAUAUGAUGGAUCCUAAGGCAGCGUCUUGGGAGAACUGAAAUUUAUGUUAUUUGUUGCUUCUGGUUAAGAUUUUUUCUUCUUCUCUGGCCCACUAUGGAAAGGAAUGCAUUCUUAAAGCCUCUCCUCUUCUUGAGGCAGUCAACAAACCUUUUCAAUUUUUCUGAAGUUUCCUCCUUUUUUCCUAUAGCAACCAGAUGAAAUAGAGAUAAAAAUUAUUUAUUUCUAAUAGGGAUGAUAAGGUCCUAUAUAAUGUUGGUCUUUGGCUCCAAAAAAUUAAAAGAAAGCUAAGCUUCACUUAGGGGGAAUAACAAAAGUCAGUCGCUCCCCUGGAAUUUCCAUCACGAGAGCCAGGAAGGCCGCUGGGAGACAGAGAGUUAAUGAGAUAGAACAGUCUGAGGAACUGAACGUGUGUUUGUGAGAUCAGCAGUAGUGAUAUGGACAGAAACUACAGAAUUGGAUUACAUUCUUAUCCUCUGUAUUUUUCCCUAUGUCACUCUUACAAGAUUGAUGCUAUGGUACAAAAUGGUAUUAGGGAUAAAGAACCCCUUAGUAAGUGAUUGAGUUCCAAAAGUUUCCACCAUAUUCCGGCAUACUACAGGAAGAUUUUUAAUUUAGUUUCCCUAUAAUUAGACCUCCUUUAUUCUAAAGCCUAGAGUACAGGAUACAUAUUUUGUACUACAAAAUUUUCCUUAGUCAAAGGCACUAUUUCUAUGACGGAGACAUGCUAUAAAGUUCUAGUAUUCUCCAGGAAUCGUGGAUGCUGGAAUAUCUUAUAUUUGCUAAAAUCUUCCAAAAGCCUAUAUAUCUAUGUGAAGUAUGAUCUGUGGACCAGCAGCAAUGACAUCUUGAUGGAUACUUGAAUGGAAGCUUGAUAGAAAUGCAGAAUCUACUGAAAGAGCCUCAGGUGAUUCAUAAAACACAUUAAAGUUUAAGAAACACUGCUGAAGAUGUGUGUUACAUCCCUCACCCCUAUUAAUUUUAUUGAUCCAUUGGAGGUCUUGUUUCAGGCCAAAAAUUUAUGGCUGGUUUAUAAUGAUAUUUUAUUUUGCUAAAAACAGUAUUUUAUUAUUUUUAAAUGAUUGCAUUGCUUGAAGGGAGGACAAACUGUUGGGAACUAUUGUGGAGUUCUCAUUUAUUUUCUAACAUUUAUAUAAUACUAACAUUUAUAUAAUAUUUGUAUAAUAUUUAAGUAAUACUAUAUAAUUUAUGUAACACUAACAUUUAUUUUCUAACUUAGUCCUUGUACAGACUUGGAAUAAGAUUAAGCAGAUACUUAUCUGACAGUACUAGGCAUUCACAUAACCUGGCAACUUGUGAGAAGUGAAGAUGUCUGGGACUCAGAAAUCAAUGUUUUAACAAGCUCUGCAGAUGAUCCUGAUGCACACCCACAUUGGAGACCCACUGAUCUUGAAUCAUUAUUACCUUCUGAUACAUAAAAGUAGACCAUUUAAAGAUUUGUUUCUCUGGAGUUUAUGGUAAGCUUCCCUAACUGGGAGCUAAAUAAGCUUCCUCCUGUAUCUUCAUAUAGGAAAUCUAGAUGCCCAUACUAGGUGGUACUGAAAAAAUUAUUAUAAUGGUCUCAUGCAUAUAUAAUAGCAAUGAUGGGAGAGGUUGUAUUGAUAAAAUUAAACAGAGAUUAUUGUUUGGUUACAACAUCAUGUUUACUUUUUGCAAAUGUUAGUCAACAGUCUGGUCCUUUGGUAUGUCCAGGUCACUCUUGGACAUUCAGUUCAUUUUUAUUGCUGCUUAUGUUAAUAUUUUAACACUGAUUUGCUUCAUUUCCCAGAAAUGGUUGAUUUUUGAAUCUCAGCUAUACAACAUAAGGUCUCCUCCUGCCAAAUGCAAUGUGAUAUAUGAAUUGAAUCCUGGAACUGAAAAAAGACAUUUGUGGAAAAAGAAUGAAAUUUGAAUAAAGUCCAAAGUUCAGUUAAUAGUAAUGUAGCAAAAUUGGUUUUUAGUUUGAAAAAUGUAAUGGCAAUCUUGAAAAAUGUAUGGUAAUGUAAAAUGUUAACAUUAGGGAAACAGUGUGAGGGUACAUAGGAACUCUAUUAUUUUUGCAACAUGUCUCUAAAUCUAAA